GCCCCGGUGGUCUAGCGGUCUAUGAUCUCGGUCUGUCGAGCCGUGGACGUGGGUUCGAAUCCCACCCGGGGCG
rnacentral:tRNA from 1 species